UGUCCUCCAUCGGAGGUCUAUAUUGAGCAGAUUCUUUUUGGUAUUGGGUGGUGGAACCGGAGCGUGCUCCAUCCACUCCAUGCAUUGACCUGGUAUUACAGUGCUUCCAGGACUGGUGC
rnacentral:snRNA from 1 species